rnacentral:misc_RNA from 1 species
UCCGGCUUAUCGCCGACAGUUUCCUUAGGGUUCUCAGCUUAACCUGUUAGCAACUAAGGACAAGGGUUGCGCUCGUUGCGGGACUUAACCCAACAUCUCACGACACGAGCUGACGACAGCCAUGCAGCACCUCUCGAGCAGUCCCGAAAAGGACGUAGACAUCUCUGCCUACUGCCACUCCAGUUCAAGCCCAGGUAAGGUUCUUCGCGUUGCGUCGAAUUAAACCACAUGCUCCACCGCUUGUGCGGGCCCCCGUCAAUUCCUUUGAGUUUCAGACUUGCGACCGUACUCCCCAGGCGGGAUACUUAAUGCGUUAGCUUCGCCACAGGGGGAUUUAACACCCCCUCCAGCCAGUAUCCAUCGUUUACAGCCAGGACUAC